rnacentral:rRNA from 1 species
UUAGAUAUUGGGUAGGGGAGCGUUCUGUAAGCCGUUGAAGGUGAAUCGUAAGGUUUGCUGGAGGUAUCAGAAGUGCGAAUGCUGACAUGAGUAACGACAAAGGGGGUGAAAAACCUCCUCGCCGGAAGACCAAGGGUUCCUGUCCAACGUUAAUCGGGGCAGGGUGAGUCGACCCCUAAGGUGAGGCCGAAAGGCGUAAUCGAUGGGAAACGGGUUAAUAUUCCCGUACUUCUGACUAUUGCGAUGGGGGGACGGAGAAGGCUAGGUGGGCCAGGCGACGGUUGUCCUGGUUCAAGUGCGUAGGCUUGAGAGUUAGGUAAAUCCGGCUCUCUCUAAGGCUGAGACACGACGUCGAGCUACUACGGUAGUGAAGUCAUUGAUGCCAUGCUUCCAGGAAAAGCCUCUAAGCUUCAGAUAGUCAGGAAUCGUACCCCAAACCGACACAGGUGGUCGGGUAGAGAAUACCAAGGCGCUUGAGAGAACUCGGGUGAAGGAACUAGGCAAAAUGGUACCGUAACUUCGGGAGAAGGUACGCUCUUGAUGGUGAAGUCCCUCGCGGAUGGAGCUGACGAGAGUCGCAGAUACCAGGUGGCUGCAACUGUUUAUUAAAAACACAGCACUGUGCAAAAUCGCAAGAUGACGUAUACGGUGUGACGCCUGCCCGGUGCCGGAAGGUUAAUUGAUGGGGUUAGCGCAAGCGAAGCUCUUGAUCGAAGCCCCGGUAAACGGCGGCCGUAACUAUAACGGUCCUAAGGUAGCGAAAUUCCUUGUCGGGUAAGUUCCGACCUGCACGAAUGGCGUAAUGAUGGCCACGCUGUCUCCACCCGAGACUCAGUGAAAUUGAAAUCGCUGUGAAGAUGCAGUGUACCCGCGGCUAGACGGAAAGACCCCGUGAACCUUUACUACAGCUUGGCACUGAACAUUGAACCUACAUGUGUAGGAUAGGUGGGAGGCUAUGAAGACGUGACGCCAGUUGCGUUGGAGCCGUCCUUGAAAUACCACCCUUGUAUGUUUGAUGUUCUAACUUAGACCCAUUAUCUGGGUUGAGGACAGUGCCUGGUGGGUAGUUUGACUGGGGCGGUCUCCUCCCAAAGAGUAACGGAGGAGCACGAAGGUGGGCUAAUCACGGUUGGACAUCGUGAGGUUAGUGCAAUGGCAUAAGCCCGCUUAACUGCGAGAAUGACGGUUCGAGCAGGUGCGAAAGCAGGUCAUAGUGAUCCGGUGGUUCUGUAUGGAAGGGCCAUCGCUCAACGGAUAAAAGGUACUCCGGGGAUAACAGGCUGAUACCGCCCAAGAGUUCAUAUCGACGGCGGUGUUUGGCACCUCGAUGUCGGCUCAUCACAUCCUGGGGCUGAAGUCGGUCCCAAGGGUAUGGCUGUUCGCCAUUUAAAGUGGUACGCGAGCUGGGUUUAGAACGUCGUGAGACAGUUCGGUCCCUAUCUGCCGUGGGCGUUGGAAGAUUGAAGGGGGCUGCUCCUAGUACGAGAGGACCGGAGUGGACGAACCUCUGGUGUUCGGGUUGUGUCGCCAGACGCAUUGCCCGGUAGCUAAGUUCGGAAUUGAUAAGCGCUGAAAGCAUCUAAGCGCGAAGCGAGCCCUGAGAUGAGUCUUCCCUGACAGUUUAACUGUCCUAAAGGGUUGUUCGAGACUAGAACGUUGAUAGGCAGGGUGUGUAAGCGUUGUGAGGCGUUGAGCUAACCUGUACUAAUUGCCCGUGAGGCUUAACCAU